rnacentral:rRNA from 1 species
CCUACGGGGGGCAGCAGUAGGGAAUCUUCCACAAUGGGCGAAAGCCUGAUGGAGCAACGCCGCGUGGGUGAAGAAGGUCUUCGGAUCGUAAAACCCUGUUGUUAGAGAAGAAAGUGCGUGCGAGUAACUGUUCACGUUUCGACGGUAUCUAACCAGAAAGCCACGGCUAACUACGUGCCAGAAGCCGCGGGAAUACGUAGGUGGCAAGCGUUAUCCGGUUUUAUUGGGCGUAAAGGGAACGCAGGCGGUCUUUUAAGUCUGAUGUGAAAGCCUUCGGCUUAACCGGAGUAGUGCAUUGGAAACUGGGAGACGUGAGUGCAGAAGAGGAGAGUGGAACUCCAUGUGUAGCGGUGAAAUGCGUAGAUAUAUGGAAGAACACCAGUGGCGAAGGCGGCUCUCUGGUCUGUAACUGACGCUGAGGUUCGAAAGCGUGGGUAGCAAACAGGAUUAGAUACCCCAGUAGUC